rnacentral:hammerhead_ribozyme from 1 species
AUUCAAUUGACGAGUCCCAAACGGGAAGAAACGCGUGUCCUGAAU